CCUACGGGCGGCAGCAGUGAGGAAUAUUGGUCAAUGGGCGAGAGCCUGAACCAGCCAAGCCGCGUGAAGGAUGAAGGAUCUAUGGUUUGUAAACUUCUUUUAUAUGGGAAUAAAGUGAGGAACGUGUUCCUGUUUGUAUGUACCAUAUGAAUAAGGAUCGGCUAACUCCGUGCCAGCAGCCGCGGUAAUACGGAGGAUCCGAGCGUUAUCCGGAUUUAUUGGGGUUAAAGGGAGCGUAGGCGGAUUGUUAAGUCAGUUGUGAAAGUUUGCGGCUCAACCGUAAAAUUGCAGUUGAAACUGGCAGUCUUGAGUACAGUAGAGGUGGGCGGAAUUCGUGGUGUAGCGGUGAAAUGCUUAGAUAUCACGCAGAACUCCGAUUGCGAAGGCGGCUCACUGGACUGCAACUGACGCUGAGGCUCGAAAGUGUGGGUAGCAAACAGGAUUAGAUACCCUUGUAGUC
rnacentral:rRNA from 1 species